GCCCCAGUAGUGUAGUGGUCUAUCAUGGAGCCCUGUCGAGGCUCCGACCUGGGUUCGACUCCCAGCUGGGGCG
rnacentral:tRNA from 1 species